CGAGACCGAGACAUCAUCAUAAUAAGUGGAGUUCAAACUUUUAAGGUGAGAGAUAGUCAAAUAAACACAGUACAAAAUAGACCUUUGGUCCCGCGGGCAUGUGGCACAUUCUCAUUGGUCGUAUGACUUUCAACAGAUAUAAACGCGUUUGACGGAAACCGCGUUGAGAGCAUUAAAACGCAAAAGGCCAAUGCCACGAAAGCCAAAAAAAAAAAAAAAACUCCUAUCGGAUCCACUUUUGCUUCUUCUUCUUUUUUUUUUGACCCAUUUUUCACAAUUCGGAUCUUCUCUUUUCACUUUAUGAAAAUCUCUUUCUUUUAAAAUAAAAAUAAAAUGGCAAUGUAUGUUGUACUAUAUUACUUGAUUUAGAUGCAAUGAAUCUAAGCUAUCAAAAGACUACUUAUAAAUUAUAAUAAUAACAUCGGGAAGGAAAUCGGGCGCGUGAGAUCCACUCGCGGCGAUUUCUUUCUCUUCACUUUUUCUUCUUCUGAGCACAAGUUCUUGCUCCGACGAUGGGUCCUCCGUCGAUUCCGGCGACGAUGAGGGUUCUAUGGUUUAUGGUGCUUCAACCGCAAUCUGCUGCUUGUUCUAGGCUACAAUCACGAAUCAAAAUCAAGGGAGAAGUAGAGAGGGGUAGCUUUUGCGAGACACCAUCGUUGGUUCCAUCGGUGGUGUAGCGGCGCAGAGUGGAAGAGGAAGCCUUCACGGCGAAGUUUGAGAGAGAAACCGGUUAGAUCUGGGACUAGAGAUCCUGGAGGCUUUUUGAGGCCGCCGCUCGAUGGGGGAGGUUGACUCCGGCCGAAGGAAGCUAAGCCACUGUCAACGGUUCCUAGAUCUACUCCCUACCGUCUUUCGAUCUCACGACAGAGCUUGAAGCUUUCACGAAAUCAACAGCUCGGUUUCUUCCUCCUCCUCGAAGUUUCUCUACGGUGGCGGAGAGGCAAACGGAUCUUUGAUCACCUCCUUCGUUCGGCCGACGACGUCCAGGCACACCGGAGGUCUUUUCCGGCGUGUUUCCGCAGUUGUGGACGGCGGCUACGACGUGUUUUGCGUUUGUAGAUUAGGGUUUCUAUGGUACCGGUUAAUUCUGGUUCUGCGAAACCAGGUCGGUUUUGUUUUCGUUUGGUUUAGUUUGGUUAGAAGCUGUAGAUUGGGCCCCUUGGGAUUUGGAUGGGCCUAAUCCGGAAAUAUGUAGUCCAUUGGGCAUAAAUAUUUAAAUUGCAAGCCUUUUACAAAAAAAAAAAAAAAAAAGACUACUUAUAGAUAAAUUAAGAAAGAAUAAUCCAAAUAUGUCAGUCAUCUCUUUAGUUUACCCACAAAAGAUGUCAGAGAGGGAACUGAGAGAGAGGAGAGAGUAGAGUAUCAUUUCGAUUAAAAAUAGGUAUCCCAAAAAAGCUGUCAGUUAUUAAGACAGCUAAGAUUUUAUUAGUUGACUAUUUCCAUUUUCCCCUGCGGACAGGACACGCUCUCGGCUUUAUGAAAUUUAUGCGUAAGAGUAGGAGAGAUCUUCGUGUUGCUUUCCCUUUUUUCAUGCGUUGGUGUUUAUUAUUAGUAUUUCACUUUUUUCACACUUUAUUAUAUGACCAAUCAUUUUUAUAGACCUAUUAGCUAAUUAGAGUUUUAAAAAUAAAUGGUGUGUGUAUGGUUCGAGGUUGGAUUGAACCCAAUAGGAAAUGAACAAACUCAGUUUGCGCAGAGCCAGUUAAUGUAAAUAUUGAAACGUAGAGAUACAACCAAGUAAGAACAAAAGCACUUAAGACAAAGUCAUUGCACCGUUACACGUACGUAUGCAAAGCAAGUAAGAGAAAAAAAAUGAUAUAUAAAUCACAGCAUCGUAAUGGUGAACACGCACACGAGCCAUCCACAUGGAGUGCCCGCCUCCUUCUGCGGCUCUUCUCUCAACAAUAUAUAUAAAUAUAUAAUCACUACUGCAGGUUGAUAUUUUGCAAAACUAAACGAUUUUUCAACCUUAUGAUUAGCAAAUUAACAGCAUACUUAUAUUUACAACUUUUACAUAUCAAAUGAUUGGAAUUGCUAUUUUAAACAUGUAUCCAUAGUAUCAUUCUUUUUCCAAUUUUGGGUCAUUACGAAAUUCGAAUUACGGCACCCCUAGUCUCAACUUUGCAAUUUGCAUCACAUUGACGCCUGUACACGAUUACAGGAAGCAAUAUAUUAAGUUACGCGAAGGCUUUAUUAAUAUAUCGUAUAAUGAUGAAAUAUGUAAACAUUAAGUGAUCAAAUAGAUGAUUUAAUAUAUAGGCUAAUGACAUAUGAAGAGUUC
rnacentral:lncRNA from 1 species